rnacentral:rRNA from 1 species
CCCUUAGAUGUUCUGGGCCGCACGCGCGCUACACUGACGAAUGCAACGAGCUUAUAACCUUGGCCGAAAGGUCUGGGUAAUCUCCAAAUUUCGUCGUGAUGGGGAUAGAUUAUUGCAAUUAUUAAUCUUCAACGAGGAAUGCCUAGUAAGCGCAAGUCAUCAGCUUGCGUUGAUUACGUCCCUGCCCUUUGUACACACCGCCCGUCGCUCCUACCGAUUGAAUGGUCCGGUGAAGCGUUCGGACCGUGGCCUUUGGACGGUUCGCCGCCUGUUGGCUGCGGGAAGUUCGUUAAACCUUAUCAUUUAGAGGAAGGAGAAGUCGUANCA